rnacentral:lncRNA from 1 species
UUUUAAUCUACGACAAAAGUGAUUUUAUAACUAUUUGAACAUUUAGAGUUUAGAUAAAUAGCGAGCAGCAUGGACGAAGAUGAAAACGGCGAAGACGUACAUAAACUUUUCGAAAGAGUGAUGAGAUUUAUCUCAAAAUCAAAUCAAGGAAAAUUGUCAAAGGUAUUCUAUAUAUAAGGAUUUGAUUAGUUAAAUCCAAAGUUUUUCUUGUUGUUUUUCCUCUUAGUUAUUUAACUUAAAUAAUAUUUCGUUUGUAGGACAUUGGAUUUUUUAGUGAUACAUACAUUUUGUUUGUAGAACUUACCCUUUCAUAGUCUCUAAAACUUCUUCUGCAUAACUUUACCAACUUCAUGGAAAAUGGGUUUGUGUGUAGGAUGAAGCAAUAUGGUAACAACCGUCUAAAGCCUCGAUUUCAUUAUGUUCCCUGGUGGCCUCAUCAAAAUCUGGUACCCAUGCUUUGCCAACUUUCACAAAUUAGCCUUUCAUAGUCUCUGAAGCUUCUUCUUCUGCAUAACUUUACCAGCUUCAUUCUCAGCUUAAAUAAUAGAUGGUAAAAGGAAUCCAAAAUGAGUUGUUAUCUUUAGGAUGAAUGCAAAUUUAAUAGAAGAUUUGAGAGUUAUGAUGAAAAGGAUUAAAGGAGAAUAAGAGAAACAUUUAUUGAUGAUUUGUAAAGGUAAGUGUGAUCUUAAAUUCUCAAUGUAACGCAACAUUUCAUAGUAAUUAUGAUGCAAGAAGAAGAAAAAGUUUCAAAGUGUAAUUUGAGUUUUGAAUGUAAUAUUAAUUGUUUUUGUUUUUG